rnacentral:rRNA from 1 species
GCGUGCGGGAAGAAGGCCUUCGGGUUGUAAACCGCUUUCGGACGGAAAGAAAUCGCCAUCUCUAACAUAGGUGGUGGAUGACGGUACCGUAAGAAGAAGCACCGGCUAACUACGUGCCAGCAGCCGCGGUAAUACGUAGGGUGCGAGCGUUAAUCGGAAUUACUGGGCGUAAAGCGUGCGCAGGCGGUUUCUUAAGCCAGACGUGAAAUCCCCGGGCUUAACCUGGGAACUGCGUUUGGAACUGGGAGACUAGAGUGUGUCAGAGGGAGGUGGAAUUCCGCGUGUAGCAGUGAAAUGCGU